rnacentral:rRNA from 1 species
GACGAACGCUGGCGGCGUGCCUAAUACAUGCAAGUUGAGCGCUGAAGGUUGGUACUUGUACCAACUGGAUGAGCAGCGAACGGGUGAGUAACGCGUGGGGAAUCUGCCUUUGAGCGGGGGACAACAUUUGGAAACGAAUGCUAAUACCGCAUAAAAACUUUAAACACAAGUUUUAAGUUUGAAAGAUGCAAUUGCAUCACUCAAAGAUGAUCCCGCGUUGUAUUAGCUAGUUGGUGAGGUAAAGGCUCACCAAGGCGAUGAUACAUAGCCGACCUGAGAGGGUGAUAGGCCACAUUGGGACUGAGACACGGCCCAAACUCCUACGGGAGGCAGCAGUAGGGAAUCUUCGGCAAUGGACGAAAGUCUGACCGAGCAACGCCGCGUGAGUGAAGAAGGGUUUCGGAUCGUAAAACUCUGUUGGUAGAGAAGAACGUUGGUGAGAGUGGAAAGCUCAUCAAGUGACGGUAACUACACAGAAAGGGACGGCUAACUACGUG